AGAAUUCACUCAAGGUUUAGGAAAACACAGUGACAUAUUGCUCACCACUUUGAUCAAAAGUCAAGAUGAUCUGCAGUCAAAGGUGGAAGAGACUCAACGUCAACUUGGGCAAAUGUCACAAUAUAUACAAAGUAUCACAGUAGAAAUCUAUAUAUAGUCAAAAGUGCUGUUAGGCUACUGAGCUGAAUUGAACUGUACAGUAUACACUAAUGUUGUAAUGUUUUAUGGAAUUACAAACAGCCAAAAAAAAUGUCUUAAUUAAGGAAUAUGAAUAUACACUUGUAGACAUAUUAAAGUAUAUAUAUAUAUUUGCAAUAUAUAAAGUAUAAUCCCCUAUAUAUAUAUAUAGGGAUUAUACUUUAUAUAUUGCAAACUGUGCAUACUUUAAACAAUAGGCGUAUUUAGGAUGAUACAGUAUUUAGAAUAUUAUUAUAUACUUAAAUGUGUGCAUAAUAUGAAUAGUUUGAGUUUGACAGACAUUUCCUUUAGCACUUAUUUCUGAAAUAUUGAACAUUCUCAUGUACUUUAUAUUCUAACAGCUAAUAUAAUUAUGAAUUGCAGGCAAUCAGAUUUUAGCAUCACUAAUUCAGGAAUACGCUCAGCUAAAAAUCAAGGACUUGUAAAAGAGUUUACCUAUCAGCUUGACGAAGGAGGAGAUGAAGACUCUCGACAAUUAAAACAAUUCCUUAGAAAGACAGUUGAAGAAAUAAGGCCAGGAAACGCACCAUCAAGAGAGGUGCUCGUCCACUGUUUCUGGGCUGUCGUAGCAGUAGCCGUCACACUAUCCGCCUAUUUUUAUGGCAAGCUGAGAAGUAGUAAGUAAAAGAAGAAAGUUCAAUUUGGUGAAAUAAAAAAAAACUCUUUAUAAAUUAUUUAUCUUUCCAUAAAAUAACUACCUUCUUCUAGACUACUAUAUAUGCACUACAAUCUUUUCCCAAUAAUUGUUUAUUUAGAACAAAAACAAAGUGCAAACCCAUUUUCUACUAUUUGGGGUAUUGGGAGAUAGACUGACAAGCAGCUAAUUUUCUUCCAUUCGCUGUGAAUAUAGUCUAAGUGACUAGUGCUUUUUGAUAUGCUUGUGUGAGACAAAUGUUGGGUGAAAAGAUGGUUUAAAAACUGUAGCUACUGUAUAAAGGACCAUUAAGAUUGUGGCUUAGAAAUUUAAAUGAGGUCUUGAGAUCUAAUUAACAUGGUUGCUGUGGGUUUGUACAUGGGUCCUGGCCGAUAUGAACUCGCAGACUGCCUUAACCAUCAAACGAUCAAAAAUGUCUGACUGACUGUGACAGGCUGGCUCGCAGUGGUGAGGUGUGGUGAGGUCGCGGACCAGGAAGUAACUGAAACCAAACAAUGGAUGGGCGGGUGAAGCUGAAUGCUACGGCACUCAGCUGAUUUAUUAACAAACAAAACAAAACCAAAAGAUUUAAACAAAACAACAAAACCAAAGGGCACGAGGGCCAAACGAAUCAGACAGACAAACAAGUAAGUGUCGUGCUGGCUAAUCCAGCACGUUUUAGCAAUUGUUAAAUUCCUCUGUAUCUCCCCGUACCUCCUCUCUGUACACCCAACCCCGCAGUAUGGA